UACGGAGGGUGCAAGCGUUAUCCGGAUUCACUGGGUUUAAAGGGUGCGUAGGUGGGCAGGUAAGUCAGUGGUGAAAUCUCCGGGCUCAACUUGGAAACUGCCAUUGAUACUAUUGAUCUUGAAUUUUGUUGAGGUAGGCGGAAUAAGUCAUGUAGCGGUGAAAUGCAUAGAUAUGACUUAGAACACCAAUUGCGAAGGCAGCUUGCUAAACAAAUAUUGACGCUGAGGCACGAAAGCGUGGGGAGCAAACAGG
rnacentral:rRNA from 1 species